AGUGAACGCUGGCGGUAGGCCUAACACAUGCAAGUCGAACGGCAGCACAGUAAGAGCUUGCUCUUACGGGUGGCGAGUGGCGGACGGGUGAGGAAUACAUCGGAAUCUACUUUUUCGUGGGGGAUAACGUAGGGAAACUUACGCUAAUACCGCAUACGACCUACGGGUGAAAGCAGGGGAUCUUCGGACCUUGCGCGAUUGAAUGAGCCGAUGUCGGAUUAGCUAGUUGGCGGGGUAAAGGCCCACCAAGGCGACGAUCCGUAGCUGGUCUGAGAGGAUGAUCAGCCACACUGGAACUGAGACACGGUCCAGACUCCUACGGGAGGCAGCAGUGGGGAAUAUUGGACAAUGGGCGCAAGCCUGAUCCAGCUAUGCCGCGUGGGUGAAGAAGGCCUUCGGGUUGUAAAGCCCUUUUGUUGGGGAAGAAAAGCAGCAGGUUAAUACCCCGCUGUUCUGACGGUACCCAAAGAAUAAGCACCGGCUAACUUCGUG
rnacentral:rRNA from 1 species